UGGACUGAGUGCGUACGCUUUGCGUGAGUUUAAAAGUUAUAAAUCCCUAGGAGCUCGUGAACAGUUUUGCAGUGGCUGGGUGCCAGAUCUGCUCAUUCACAAGCCGGCAAACUGCGGAGCACAAAAAGAGCACAGUCAUACUCGCAAAGGUUGGCUCAUCAUAUGGCCGGAAACUGCUUACAGGCUAUCUAUCUGACAAAGGAAUAAAGGUCGGACAGAAACGGGUUGGAAGUAUUCUGAGGGAAAUCAAUCGACCCUAUCAUCAGGCACAAUGCAAUGUAAGGGGAUACCAAAUGUCCUUGCUGGUGAUGGCUGCAAGACUUUGCUUUGAAGAAGACCCCUACCCCACAGAAGAAGCAAAGUUAGGGGCAGAAAGGGAGUUUUGUACUCUUUUUCCUAACAUAACACCAUUGUUUGAAACAUCACAAUUAUCAGCCCUACCAAGAAGCACUGAUGUACCUCAUUGAUAUCACACAUAGAUAUGUUUAGUUUGAGCACAACAAGGCUAAAAUACAACUGCAGCCUACAAAGAUACCUUCUCACCCCUCUCACACAAUAUUAAACAGGCACUAUAAAACAAAAUGAAAGCAAAAAUUCAAGAAUCUUCUUCUUUGGAUCUAGAUGAUCAGGUAGGAUAACCAAGAUAUGGUGAGGCCUCUGCCUUGUAUAAAAAUUUAAACUGCAUCACACCAAUAGUUGUGUGAGGAGAAACAUACCCUUCUUUUCCCCUACCACUGGGCAAAGGUAAGAAUACAUUAAUGAACAUAUGAUUACAUUAAUGAACAUAUGAUUAAAAAUAGUGAUAGCAUUUAGGCUUGCUCCAGAAAAAUGCAGAGUCAGUCCUGGCAAAAAAGGUGUUCAAUCAGGAUACAUGUCUAUUUAUACGGCUGUGCCCAGCCGGAGAGAGGCAAGCACAGUGUGGUCCUGCGUCUCUGCAUCUCUAACUAGACAGAGGAUCAACCUGACUUACAAACGACUACAUGGCUAAACCGUUAUCCUGGAGUUUACCACAUAGGUCUGAUGACAGAGGGGAAAAUGACAAGAGUACAAUGACAUCCUAACAAGCUGUUCAAAGAUUCAAGAUUCAGCGUAGCUUUAUUGUCUGUCUUGUGACCAUAGCAGAAACCAGAGAUUGUUGGUGUCAUUCCCAGAUUGCAGAGCUGGUCACUUGCAUCCUUUAGCUGA